UGCAAGUUAAAUGUUUUUCGUAAACAUAGCGAACUGCUCAGUAACACGUGGACAACUUAACCUUAGGUCCAGCAUAACCCCGGGAAACUGGGGAUAAUUCUGGAUUAAGCCAAAGAUGCUGGAAUGCCCUUUGGCUAAAAGCUUUUGCGCCUAAGGAUAGGUCUGCGGUCUAUCAGGUUGUAGUGGGUGUAACGUACCUACUAGCCGACGACGGAUACGGGUUGUGAGAGCAAGAGCCCGGAGAUGGAUUCUGAGACACGAAUCCAGGCCCUACGGGGUGCAGCAGGCGCGAACACUUUACAAUGCGGGAAACCGCGAUAAGGGAACCCCGAGUGCCAGUACUAAGUGCUGGCUGUCUGGAUGAUUAGAAAUCAUUUAAUAGCAAGGGCCGGGCAAGACCGGUGCCAGCCGCCGCGGUAACACCGGCGGCCCGAGUGGUAACCGAUAUUAUUGGGUCUAAAGGGUCCGUAGCCUGUUUAAUAAGUCCUUUGGGAAAUCUGGCAGCUUAACUGUCAGGCUGCUAAAGGAUACUGUUAAACUUGGGACCGGGAGACGUAGGGGGUACUCCAGGGGUAGGAGUGAAAUCUUGUAAUCCCUGGGGGACCAUCUGUGGCGAA
rnacentral:rRNA from 1 species